UCAUCGAAAACACUGCAUCUAGAUGUAAUAUUAGAUAUUUAAUCACUUCUCGUCCACCAAAUACUCUAAGUUUCUUAAGUUUUUUUUUUUUUUUUUUUUUUUUUUGAGUGAGAAACAUAAUAAACUACGUGCUGAUUUUUUUUUUUAAUAUACUCAACUAAAAAUAUGAAACAACUAAACUUGGAAGUUGAAAUUUAGGAUACUACCUAGUAAGCUCUUAGCCAACUACACAAAGGACGUCAGUUUCUUGAGUAAAAAUUAUUAUUUGCUUCUGAUUCAUCUAUUUGAUCAUUUUUACCAUUUCGUCAACUUUUAAUUCUCAUGCAGAUAUACAAAUGCAUUGCAAGUAGAUAAUUACUCGGUCUUUGAUUAAAAAUAGACAAAAACAUAUAAAAGUUAUCUGAACUAUGAAUCGUUUUGAGUCGACUAUCCAAUUUUUUAAAAUUUUGAUUUUAUUAUUCAACCUUUCAAUUUGUUUUAUUUGAAUCAGCCGAUAAUAGCUUAACUUCAAAAUUUAAUUGCAUUGUUUAUCUUUACAUCUUAGUUAGCAUUACUUUAUGCAAUUCUCACAGCUAUUGAUCCAUAGUUCAAAUAAAUUUCAUAUGUUUUUACCUUUAAAAAAAUAUGCAUAACAACUAAAAUGAAACCCUUA
rnacentral:lncRNA from 1 species